rnacentral:rRNA from 1 species
CAUAGCGACUAUCGUGGCAUAUCAAUAAGCGGAGGAAAAGAAACUAACUAGGAUUCCCUUCAGUAACGGCGAGUGAAGCGGGAAGAGCUCAAAUUUGAAAUCUUCAAGGUUUUACCUUGACGAAUUGUAGUUUAAAGAAGUGUUUUCUGUUGGAGUUUUGGUAAAAGUUCUUUGGAAUAGGACAUCAUAGAGGGUGAGAAUCCCGUAUUUGACCAUUAUUUUCAGCUGUGUGAUACACUUUCAAAGAGUCGGAUUGUUUGGGAAUGCAGUCCAAAAUGGGUGGUAAAUUUCAUCUAAAGCUAAUAUUGGCGAGAGACCGAUAGCGAACAAGUACCGUGAGGGAAAGAUGAAAAGAACUUUGAAAAGAGAGUUAAACAGUACGUGAAAUUGUCAAAAGGGAAGCGUUUGACACCAGUGUUGUUUUCUCGAAAAUCAACUAAAAAGAGUUGGAUUUUGUGUUGUAUUGACCUUAACAGCUUUCUUCACUCUUUUCCUGCUUUUUUUAAUGCACUUUUCGUUUAACAAGUCAACAUCAGUUUCUUUUGUUGUAAAAGGGUCAUUGGAAGGUGGCUUUCUUUUCGGAGAAAGUGUUUAUAGCCUUGUACCUCUGCAAUCGGAGAGAUUGAGGUCUGCAGCGUAGAUCCUUCGGGGUUAGAUACAUUUGUGCUAAGUUAUAGCUUUUCAUAGACAACUUGUUGACUAUGUUAAGUCUUGUAGCUUACUCGCUUAUGCUAUUUUACCUACGCUUAGGAUGUUGAAGAUAUGCGCGACACG